rnacentral:rRNA from 1 species
CCUACGGGUGGCUGCAGUGAGGAAUAUUGGUCAAUGGGCGCGAGCCUGAACCAGCCAAGUAGCGUGAAGGAUGACUGCCCUACGGGUUGUAAACUUCUUUUAUCAAGGAAUAAAGUGAGGCACGUGUGCCUUUUUGUAUGUACUUUAUGAAUAAGGAUCGGCUAACUCCGUGCCAGCAGCCGCGGUAAUACGGAGGAUCCGAGCGUUAUCCGGAUUUAUUGGGUUUAAAGGGAGCGUAGAUGGGUUGUUAAGUCAGUUGUGAAAGUUUGCGGCUCAACCGUAAAAUUGCAAUUGAUACUGGCAGCCUUGAGUACAGUUGAGGUAGGCGGAAUGCGUGGUGUAGCGGUGAAAUGCUUAGAUAUCACGAAGAACCCCGAUUGCGAAGGCAGCUUACUAAACUGUGACUGACAUUGAUGCUCGAAAGUGUGGGUAUCAAACAGGAUUAGAUACCCGAGUAGUC